AUGGGGGUGGGGAACAUUCUGGUUGUCACAAAGACUGGGAGGCACUCCCAGCAUUUCGUGUAGGACUGGGUUACUAAAUGCCUUACAAUGCCUGGGACAGUCCUGCACAAGGAAGAGCUACUUUGCCUGAAAAGCUGACGACACUCUCUUGGAGAAGUACCCUCUGACCUCCCGCAAAGUUCUCCUCAUGGCAGGGCAGCAGGAUCGUUGUGGGGGGAUGAGAAACUCAAAAUUCGCCAAUUGACAGGUUUUUCCACCAUCUAUUCUGCUGGUUGCUGACCACAUUUGGGGAGUACAUGUUCCACGUUAUCAUUUCCUUCCCUUCCCCUUUUCGUCUCCAAAAUGGUGCCAGUAUGAGGAGGGCAGGGCUGACUCAACCUGUAGGUGUAGGGGAGAGGAGAUGAUCUACCUGAAUAUGCGUGAAAAAACUCACAGGCCUUGCACAUGUGAACAUGUUUUCACGUCGCCCUUACACUUGAAUGUAGCUAAGUUGCACCUGUGUUCCUCCCGAAGCCAGCCCUGGGAUAAGGAUUUGAGUGUAAGUUUAUUUGCCAGGUGAUCCUCACCAGCAGAAAUGAGGGUGGAGCCAUCUCAGGGAAGGGAGGAAAGUCUAUAUAAGGGUGUGUUAUUCAGGCAGGUCCUGAAGUCAGACGCUCCCUUCUGCCAGGACCUUUUGAUAGCUGUGUAGAAUUACCUUCUAGAAUGGUCCCCCUGAAGAACACUGGGCUGGGUGGUUUUCUACCAGCUCCUGUCACCGAUUGAUGGGGAGGUGGGGGGUUGCCUCCGAGAGCAUUACCUCACUGUUGAGGGAGAGCAUCAGGGUGGCUAUCAGAGAAGAUCCUGGGGCAAAAAGAAGAAAAACUCACGACUUGAGCUUAAGGGGGAGGCUGUUAGCAGGUACUUGCCAUUUCUUAAGUGAUACUGCAAGUCAAGCAGAAAGAAGGUGACAAGUACCAGAGAACCUGAACGGACCUUUCUUUUAUGUGGUGUCAUGAAUACGGGUGAUAAAAAUUGGAGUUCAGGAAUAGCAAGACGGCCAGGACAUCUGAUUCCAGAAACCCAGAGAAAAAAGAAAUGCAGAGUGAAGCCAACAUAUCAGGCUCAACUUUUCCACUACUGACUUUGCUGAUUCCUGAAGAAGGGAAAUUAGGCAGAAAGGAGCACUGAAGAGGCUAAGAAGAUAAGCAGAGCAUUGGGAAAGUUCAUCAGGCUUAGAGGGGAAGGGAGAUCAUAUAUCAGGAUCUCUGCACAGAGGAAGCUCCUUUCAGUUGAGAUGCAUAAAGGGCUGAGUCCAAGGGUUCAGUCCAGUCAGGGAUUAAGCUGUGUGGGGACUUGGUUUAAGUCUUCCACCUUGGCAAAAAAAAAAAAAAAAAAAAGAAUCCAUAAUCUCAAAGAUGGAUCCAUUGAAAAUAUUCAGACAGAAGCACAGAGAAAAUAUAAAUGGAAAAUACAGAAAAGAGUGAAAUAUUUAUUAUCAGCACACUAACAGAAUAAAAGAAACCAAUAUGAUCAUCUGCACAGAUAUAGAAAAGCAUUUGAAAAAAAUCAACACUAAUUCAUGAAUAAAUGAAAAGAGACCCUUAAAGGUGUAUCCUUAAAGUUCUGUUGAUAAUCUACCUCAUUCUUCUUAACCUCUGUAUGAUUUUCAUUGUACAGCUUUAACCUCAGCUUAUGUAUAUACUCCCCUAUUGUACGUUUAGGUUGUUUACAGUAUUAUAAGGUUACAAAUUGCAAUAUCUACAGUUACCAUAAUUGUACAUGCCCUUUCUGUGCACAUGAAUGUCCAUCUGGGGUACAAACCAAGAAAUGAAAAAGCUGGAUCAGAAGGUGUCCAUUUUUUUUUUCUUUACUAGAUAUUGCCAGGUUGUCUUCCAAAAUUCCCUUGAAGGCAGGUCAAGUUCAUUUCAGUAUUCUUCAGUGAAAAUAUUCCAAAUCGUUUCUCCUACCCACCAUGUAAGGGUUUGCAAUAUUUAACUUUCCAUGAAUGCCUUGUCUAGGCUUCAACUGUUAAACCAUAAAUGCUGUGUCUUCUAUUUUUCUGCAUCACACACAGCUAGCACUUACAUAGGUAUUUAAUAAAUACAGGUAUUUAUCGAAUCAA